GUGGUUGUACCGUGUUUUGCAUCCUAUAAAACACGUUGAGAGGCACAAAUCCAAAUCUCAGAACUAUUAUGGUAUGAAAGUAGAUUAAUACAUACAAUGAAUACAAAAACUGCUUAUAUCUGGAAAAACUUAGAGCAAAGGACCUCUGCUUAUAUCAUAACUAACAGUAGCGGAUUUAUCUUUUGCAGGGGGAUGAAGACUACGAAAUAACUGUUUUAUGGCAUUAAAUUUUAAUGGCUUUUAGUGUUUCUAUUCUUGCUUUAAAAAUAAUUGACGAGGCCAAAAAGAAACUUUAAUGCUUUUCUUUGGAUAAAUUAAGUUACUUCCUUUUGUUUUUCUGAAAGAAAGAAAGAACAUCUACCUACUGAAAAAGCCAAUCAGAUGCUACAAUAGAGUAUUGUACUCUGUUAAAUCUUUAUUAUUUGAGAAGUAGCAACAAAAGAAGUAGAAGAAAAAGUUUUAUCAUAAACAGAAAUUCACAGUCUAUGAUAAAAACAUUUUAUUUUCUUAAAACUAUUACGAAAAUGCAUUAGUCAAGUGCAAUUAUGAUUACAAUUAAAUUUCAAAAGUUAGA
rnacentral:misc_RNA from 1 species